AUACGUAGGGGGCGAGCGUUGUCCGGAAUUAUUGGGCGUAAAGGGUUCGCUAGGCGGAAAUAUAUGUCAGGUGUAAAAGGCGGAGGCUCAACCUCCGUAAGCAUUUGAAACUAUAUUUCUUGAGAUAUGGAGAGGUAAGUGGAAUUCCUAGUGUAGCGGUGAAAUGCGUAGAUAUUAGGAGGAACACCAGUGGCGAAGGCGACUUACUGGACGAUAACUGACGCUGAGGCUCGAAAGCGUGGGGAGC
rnacentral:rRNA from 1 species